rnacentral:rRNA from 1 species
ACACGUAGGGGGCGAGCGUUGUUCGGAAUCAUUGGGCGUAAAGGGCGUGCAGGCGGUCCUGCAAGUCCGGCGUGAAAGACCCCGGCCCAACCGGGGGGACGCGCUGGAAACUGCGGGGCUUGAGUACAGGAGGGGAUGCCGGAAUUCCAGGUGUAGGGGUGAAAGCUGUAGAUAUCUGGAAGAACGCCAAUGGCGAAGGCAGGCAGCUGGCCAUGUACUGACGGUGAGACGCGAAGGUGCGGGGAGCAAACAGGUUUAGAUCCCCUGGUAGUCCGCACAGUAAACGAUUUGCACCAGGUGGCGGGGGGUCGACCCCCGGUACCGUAGCUAACGCAUUAAGUGCACCGCCUGGGGAGUAUGCUCGCAAGGGUGAAACUCAAAUGAAUUGACGGGG